GAUGAACGCUGGCGGCGUGCCUAAUAUAUGCAAGUCGAGCGAACGGACGAGAAGCUUGCUUCUCUGAUGUUAGCGGCGGACGGGUGAGUAACACGUGGAUAACCUACCUAUAAGACUGGGAUAACUUCGGGAAACCGUAGCUAAUACCGGAUAAUAUUUUGAACCGCAUGGUUCAAAAGUGAAAGACGGUCUUGCUGUCACUUAUAGAUGGAUCCGCGCUGCAUUAGCUAGUUGGUAAGGUAACGGCUUACCAAGGCAACGAUGCAUAGCCGACCUGAGAGGGUGAUCGGCCACACUGGAACUGAGACACGGUCCAGACUCCUACGGGAGGCAGCAGUAGGGAAUCUUCCGCAAAGGGCGAAAGCCUGACGGAGCAACGCCGCGUGAGUGAUGAAGGUCUUCGGAUCGUAAAACUCUGUUAUUAGGGAAGAACAUAUGUGUAAGUAACUGUGCACAUCUUGACGGUACCUAAUCAGAAAGCCACGGCUAACUACGUG
rnacentral:rRNA from 1 species